GUACACUCCUACGGGAGGCAGCAGUGGGGAAUUUUGGACAAUGGGCGAAAGCCUGAUCCAGCAAUGCCGCGUGAGUGAAGAAGGCCUUCGGGUUGUAAAGCUCUUUUGUCAGGGAAGAAACGGUGAGAGCUAAUAUCUCUUGCUAAUGACGGUACCUGAAGAAUAAGCACCGGCUAACUACGUGCCAGCAGCCGCGGUAAUACGUAGGGUGCAAGCGUUAAUCGGAAUUACUGGGCGUAAAGCGUGCGCAGGCGGUUUUGUAAGUCUGAUGUGAAAUCCCCGGGCUCAACCUGGGAAUUGCAUUGGAGACUGCAAGGCUAGAAUCUGGCAGAGGGGGGUAGAAUUCCACGUGUAGCAGUGAAAUGCGUAGAUAUGUGGAGGAACACCGAUGGCGAAGGCAGCCCCCUGGGUCAAGAUUGACGCUCAUGCACGAAAGCGUGGGGAGCAAACAGGAUUAGAAACCCCGGUAGUCCCAUGA
rnacentral:rRNA from 1 species